rnacentral:lncRNA from 10 species
AGCACUCCAUGGAACUUUUCCAUCUGCAGCAGUCGGAGGAUUUGCCUGAGAACAUACGCGGCAUGAAGACACUCUCAGCCCUCAAGGGCACCCAGUCAGCGCUGUUUAAGGACGGUUUUUCUGUUCACAGCAUACUUCAUGAUUACAGCUUCACUCCAUUGGAUACAACUAUGUGAGUAUGUGUGUAUGAGUGUGUGAGUGUGUGUAUGAGGGUGUGUGUGUGGGGGGGUAGGGGAGUGCCAUAUCCCCCAGCAGCACAUUAAGAAAUAAUCCAAUUACAAUUUAAAUAACCAUUGUUUCAACACUUUCUCUAAGUGGUGAAUGUAUUCUUCAGUCUCUUGGUUGAUCUGAACUAAUAGAAACCAAGGAAACUGUUAUCACAUACCAAAUCCUCAACUUCUCAACACCAAGUUGCAAUUUCCUUAAUACUGAAGCACACGUCAGUUCAGUUCUAUAAGCUCCCAUGGAGCAAUGAUUUCAAUAAACACAAUUUCAUAAGCAUCCCACACGUUCUCAAGUUUAGGCCAAUUUUGCUCUUACUCAACUCCAUAUGACUUUAAAAAUGCAGGAAUAUUAAAACCAUUAUCAAGGACUCCAAAUAGGUCAAUGUAUUAUCUGUGGUUUUAAGAAAGAAACCUAAGAGGAGAGUAAUUAUUUUGUCACCAUUAUUUAGCUUAAAAUAACUUUUAAAUGUAUUGUUCCAAUUAUUAGGCUUCUCCAUAUAAUUUGGAAACCAUUAAAUGAGUUUCAACUUCUUUGUCCGUAUAACUGGGUAUAUCUGAGCAUAGAUGCUACAGACAUCACGUUGCCAUUGGUGCCCAUAAGGCUUCGUAUGCCCACAGGGCAUAUAAUUAAGAUUCACAAAAGCAUCUGACUGGCAUCCCACUCUACCCCCGACUCAGAUCCAAAGUAUCCUUUCCCAGGUACUGUCCCCUGUCACCAUCCUUGGCCAAAUUGAGAAUUUAUCCCAGGUUGUUGAAAUUAAUUUUGAUUUUGAUUCUAGUCAGAGUUUUAAAUGAUUUUUUAAGAAGUGUGUCAAUCUCACCUAUAAGAUACUAAACAGCAUCACUUAUUUUUGUCUUAAUCUGUCACUAUUUUAUGAAUUAUUUUUAAAGAAAAUACAGAUUACUUCUUAAAGAAAGAUCAUAAGUGGCACUAUAAUAGCAUUCAAUUGAUAGAAAUUGAUGUAGAAGCCUGCAUUAAUAAUUUUUCCUGCUGCUUUCUAAAGUUGGCUUUUAGUUUUCGGUUGAGGUGGGCUUUAAUUCAGCAUCACCUCAUUUGAUGAUUUAUUUACUAAUUUAUUUCCAUCACAAAUGGAAUCAGAAAUGAAGCGAAGGCAAAAAAUCUUUGCCACAAAUUCAUUUAUAUUUGCAUGAGUAUCACCAGGCUACCUGCGGAUGCAAUGAAGCCCUAUACCCGUGCCUGAAGUCAGGAGCACAGGACACUGGGAGUCUGUCUCAGCGCAGUAACUGCUACAUGGUACGCUCCACAUGGUAUCCUCUCCACCUGAGCCCUCCUCAUCCCUCGCCCCCUCUCCACACCUCACCCUCUCCACACUGUAUUAUCUCCCACUGCAAGCAACGCAGAGGACACAGAGGUGCAGCUGAAGUGAAGGCAGGCCAGUUCUUUUCCAAUUCACUCUUAUGAAAAUGUGUUAAAUCCCGUUAAAUGCACCGACCUGAACUGAAAUGAUGAUAUCAGUAAAUUUGUUGUUGUCAUCUGAUGCCCACACAGAUCUCAGCACAUGUUUUGGGAAAGGCUGCAGUGUUCAAGGAGUACUAGAAAUGUUCUUUCUGAGUGGACUGGCCAUGAUAAGCCAAAGAAUAUUAUAGCCGAUAGGGAUAAAUCAUGGUUUUCCCACUGCGCGGUUGCCUGGUGGAGAUUAUUCCAGCCUUUAUUUACAGCUACAAAAAUAAUCCUGCCUCAAGGAUUUUAGGAAGCAACCACCUCCUGCCUAAAGAACUACACUGCAUUGUUGACUUGCCAGCUAGAAACCAGACAUGAGUCGUGCAGGGAAGUUCCCUUUGAACGGCUUGAAUUGUUGUCACUAGAGGGUGCUAAAUGCCCCUCAAAAAGGCCUUUAGAGAGAAUACUAGUGUGCCUAAUUCUUGAUUUAAAUUCCUUGAAUUGACAUUAUUUUACAAAGUGGUCUCAUUUUUUACUUGUUAAAAUUAAGAUCUAACAUUUAUAAUGCAGAAAUGGUGUUUUUUUUUGAAAAAUUUGGAUUGUUCAUUAUUAUAGAACAUAAAGAAAUACACGUUUUAGGAGCAAACAUGAAUUACACAGAUCUGAAUAUAAGAUUAAAGGCAUAAAUCUGGGGGGGUGAGAUUUGUCCAUGGAAAUUGUAUAAUUGUUUUAUGCCACUGUUAAUGAUUUUAAAGCCUGAAAAAUUUACCACUUUACAAUAAUUUUAGAUUGUUCAAUAUGUUCCCAAAUGUGAGUUGCAUCAAAUUCGGUAAAUGUAGAGUAUGUUUGUUUUCUCUGUACACAAUACUGACGUCAGUGCUAGUGCCUGCCUAAACUCAGACACCAGUAGAUCCUUUUCCAGAACUAAGUGUUAUAGGAGGAAUAUGGAUUAUACUGUAAUAUAUCAGAUGUGAAAAAAGCCUCACGGUCCCUUCCUUUCUCAAAAAAAACGUGUAGUAUUUUGGAAUAUGCAUGGAGUAUAGCACUUCUAAAAAUGGUACUUUAUGUAUAUAUGAAGUAAAAUAGGCCUUAAAACUUAAUAUACAGAUUUCCUUGAAAAUAAUCUUAUUAUACAUUUACACUGACUUUUUGGUCAUCCAAACAUUAUGCACUUAAGCAAAAAGAAAUAUAACCAAUUUUGCAACUUUCCUCUUCCUGCCUUUGCUUCUACUUAAAAAUAUCUGCAGUAUUUCCUUUUCUCGCCGCUUCCACUUUGGUUCAUAUACCAAGGAAUCGUGAGGUCAAUGGGUGACAGUUGUUUGUCUGUGUUCACGGCUGUCGGGCGGGGCUGGGUGUGGGUAAGGCUCUGACCGACAUCUGAAGAGGCUUCACCCACUGCGGUUUAGGAUACAUUUUCCUCUCGCUCUGCCAGUAGAACAGGGAGGCUAGUUUUCAAUGUGUUCUACAGAAGGAUAAUUAAGGCAGUGUGUCACCUGCUCGUCUGCUAUUUUUAAAAGGAAACAAACAUAACCUUUGCAUGUGAGAGGCAUUGCAAACUAGAUGGGAGGAGGCCCGGACCCUGUAACAGUCGUACAUUCCGGUCCCAGCUUCGCUGGGGUGCAACUGCAGAUAAAAGACGCUGGCUCGACAAAAAGCGCCCCUGGGCUCUGCAUUGCCAGCAUGCACAAUACGAAUUGCUAAUGAUGAGCUGGCUUAGGUAGGAACUGAGGACCCUGAGUGCAGGGCUAACCUCUGCUUCACAGGAGGGGUCCACUGGCGCGCGCUGGAGGCGGGGAGCCUUCGUGAUAUUUCUCCGAAGGGAAGAGUCCAUGCAGCAUCCUGAUAACAGGGACCUUGGCUUCAUCCCCAACUGCUCGGUGACCCCGAUGCGUCAUUUAAUUCAUUUGUGCCAAUAUUCCUUUUUCAAUCAACCAGUAACUUUGCAGGUUUGUUCAAAGAAGAAAUUAAAAUGCAUUGGAGAUGGAAGGCAGCCAUCUUCCCGGAGCCCCAGUGCUGACACUGGGAGGGGAACCCCAGGAUUCCCUCAUGACUGUGUCAGUGAUGGCCCUCAACAAGCACUUACUGAAUGAGUGAAUGAAUGAAUGAAUGAAUGAAUGAAGCCGGCCACAGAGCCCAGGAGUAUCAGGGGAGAGCAAUACUGGCUGUGUCAGUGGCUAGUCCAGGAGAGCCCUUCAAGAGCCCAGAGUUCGACUUGAACUUGGGACUCCCCUGGGAUGGGUGAGGUUCUCUCAACAGCAGUUGACAGGAGGGAACUGGGACAGGCCCAGCCAGUUUCAUUCACACCAGCCAGUCCCUCAGUUCUGAACAGAACGUGCCCAGCAUCAGUGCCUUCAUUUGUUUUUAAACUGCCUGCUGACCAUCCACAAAGUUAAGAUGACAGCUGGGACUUAAGUUGUGAGGAACCAGUGGCUCCCCCAUCACUCUCUCUCACACACACGCACAUGCACACACACAGAGACACACAGACACACACACAUGCACACACACAGAGACACACAAACACACAUGCACACAAAGACAGACACAUAUAAACACACAUAUACACACAUGCACACACAUAUAUACACACAGACACACAGGCAAACACAGACACACAAUGGAUGGUAUCGAUAUCUAUGAACAGAUGAGAGAGAGAGACAGAGCAGGAGGUCAUCUGCUCCCCACCCCUCUUCUCCCCACUGUCACCACCUCUCUCCCAAGUCUAGCUGCAGGCCCUGUGAGCUGUGGAAGUGGCUUUUUUAAGCUGUCUUCUUAGAUUGAGUCAUUGGGCAGUGAGGAAGGUAAAUUUUCUCUAAGAAGCCUCCCAAAUCUGUAUCUUAUGGGAUUUCCGUCUCAAUAAUUGAGCUAAUAGUACCUGUAAGCAAGUGGAUAGUCAAUAAAAAAAAAAUACCGGCUGUAAGAACGAAUGAAUGAAUGAGUGGAUGAGUGGAUGAGUAUACAUCCUCUAUUUUGCUGGCAUCAUGAUUAUUUUACAGCAGAUUUAUCUGGAUUUCAAUAUAAAAUAAGAGCUCCCAUUUGUAUACAACUUAGUCCUUGUAAUUUUCCAAAGUAACUCUGAUUAAAAUUAUUUCCAGCCAAACUAUUUAGGCAACUGGGUUGGUUUCACACGUACUUAUCAGAAACCAUUAGAAUGGUAUAUUGAUUGCAUUUCUAGACAUUUGCCAUACCACCAUGGCAACUGUAUUUCCCAAGAUGGCCCAGUAGGAUGUCCCAUCAUGCAUAACCUUCUAUAAAGUGACAUUGACUUUGCUUCCAUCAGAAAGUGAGGUCCACGUUCCCACUCCUUGAAUCUGAGUUGGGCUGUGACUACAGCAGAAGUUCAGCUAUGUGGCUUCCAAGGCUACCUUGGAAAGGUGAUAGAGCUUCCACCUGAUUUUCUUGGGAACAGCCACUCUUAAACCUCAGCCACCAUACGGGGAGAAAGCCCAAGCCAUGUGACGAGGCCAUUUGUAGGUGUUCCAGUCAUCAGUCCCAGCCCACAGCCAGCAUUAACCCCCAGAGGUAUAAAUGAAGAAACCAAGAUCACUCCAGCCCCAACCGGCACUUGACUGCAAACCUAUAAGAGACUCCAAGCAAAUAAUAUCUAUCUCAGCCCAAUCAAGCCCUGGAACCAUGAGAGAUUCUAAAUAAUAAAGUGAUCAUUGUGAUUUUAAGCCACUGAGUCCUGCAGUGAGUUGUUAUAUAGCAACCGGGCAUCGGCAUACCAUCAGAAGAUUCCUUAAGAAGAAACUUUUGCAACGUUGCUACAGCAGAAAAUAUUCCUUCUGUAUGAUCAUUCAUCCAUUCAUCAAUCUUGAUUGGCAUUGCCUAUGUGCUAAGCAUUGUCGGUCACUGGAGGUGCAGAAAAGAAGUGAAGCAGUAUUCAGCCAAACAAACAACUUGCAUAUUGGAUAGAGAGAAAAAUAUGCCAAAAUUACAACAGUAUUUUGACCCAACAGAAAGGACAUAAGAAGGGAACAUCAACAGUUCCUUCCUAUUCUUUUCCACCCUUUUUCUUUCUAGGCUCAUUAAAUGUAGAGGUGCCUCAGGGUCACUUUGCCCCAUGAGAGUAGAUACCCUCCUCUCCCAUCCCUAACUUUGGUCUUCACUCUAUGCCUGAUACCAGCAGCUCCCCAGGCUCCUCCAUGCUGUUGGCACCCCAUUCCCAUUCUCUGGAAACAUCUCAGCCCAUCAACCUCAGAUUACUUUCCCAAGGAGAUUUACUGCAAACCAAAACCAGAUGUGAAGUAUCAGCGGCUACCUCGUAGUGACCCAUGGAAGUUGAGGCUAAUCCAUAUCAUUCUUAAUAACUCAAAACUGCCACCUUUUAACCACCUAAUUUUUUUCUCACUUACAAAUGCAAAAAAAGGAAUUGACAGUACACAUUGAAAUCGAUUUUCCCCUGACCACUUACAGAUUUUCUCCUAUAAGAGCCAGGAAUAAAAGCUCACUCCAUUAUAUCAAGCAGCCAUCAUCUGAGUAUGCUUUAGUUUAGGUGAUCAUCACCUUUAACAAACCAAGAUCUGGAAGGAAGAUUUCUGAUCUUUAACAAACCAAGAUUUGAAAACUAGAUAUUCCUGUCAUGACCUUUUCCCAACAUUCAGUAUGUAAGGGAUUCACUGGAUUAUUAGACUGCUUGUAAAUGUAAGAAAACAUAGAAGGUUUAGUGUGAAGGAGUUAGCAACCUAACAAAUGUUUCCCCCUGAAUUUUCAAUAACCUUCCUGAAUUUAAAGGUAAUGAAUAUAAAUGAAGAACAAAAUCAAUAGAUAUAGGAAUGAUUCACAACCUCCCAAAUGAAUAAAUCAAUCAUUCCACCCUACAUUUGAACAUUCAAUCAAUAUUUUGUCUAUUUACUAAAUCUAAGAGGAACUACUUUAACAUAAAACUAAAUAUGAAAUUAUUUCCAGCAUUGAAUAUUGUGUUUUGCCUUAGAGCAGGCACAAAGUGGAAUGCCUAUGGGUACAAAGCUAGGCAUUGAUUGAUGUUUAAUACCUACAAAUACAGCAAUUACACUGUCAUGCUACACGAGACUUCCUAUUCCUACACUGAAAUUAGACUGCACAUAUGUAGGGAUAAAAGAUAAGACACAAUCAUAUCAUAUUUCCUCAAAUCUAAGACUUUGGGUGGUAAGAUGUAAAGCACAUCAUGAUUUAAAGUAUCACUAGGAAAGAAAAAACAAUUCUGCCAAUGAAAAUUCACCGUAAUACUUUCUAAUCAAUCAAUUUUAAGAUACAUCCCAAUUUUUAAGCAAGAAUAAAUGUGUUAAAAUUAACACAAAUUGGUACACUUGUGAUACAACAGAAGCACUAAAAUGUCACAGCAAUAGACCACAGGGUUUCUCAACCUUGGCAGCAUCAACAUUUUGGGUUGGUUAAUUAUCUGUUGUGGGGGCUGCCCUGUGCAUGGCAGGAUGUUUGCUAGCAUUCCUGGCCUCUACCCACUAGAUGCCAGUAACACCUCGCAGACUCCAAUUAUGACAACCAAAACUGUCUUUAGACAUGGCCAACUGUCCCUAAAGGUGCAACCAAAAACUGUCCCAGUUGAGAACCACUGGAACAGAGCAAUUCGGUUUUAUCAGCCUUGUAAUAUAAUUGUGUGUGUGCACUGUGUGCAUGACAGACUGUCAGCCUAAUGGAAGGUAUAUUGUCAGAUGGGAUAGAUUGACCUGAAAAAAUCACAUAAACCAACAGCUGGUACAUAUACAAGAGUGUGUCCUGCCCAUCCUAACCCACACAAUGCAAAAGAACCUGGAUGACCACGAGUCACCAUCACAGGAGUUUACUAUCCAUAAGUGUAAACCAUCCAAGAAAAGUGAAAACAGAUUAAAGAAAAUAAAAAUAAAUAAACCACCACACAAUAUUUGGGCCUAGCCAGAUAACAACAAUGAAAAAAUGUAAUAUUUUGAAGUAUUGGCAAGAAUGUGGAGGAAAAAGCAUUGACAUUCGUGUAUAAUGGGAAUAAAAUAAUUUAUCCUUUGUCUCCGCAAUUGAUAUUCUAGAAAUCUAUUUUUUAGAAAUACUCACAAUAGACAGUUAUAAGUACAAAGGAUGUCUGCUAUUACACUGCUCAGUAACAGUAAAAUAUGAAAAUACACUGUACGUCUUUCAAUCAGAUAUUGAAUAAUUAUACUACACAGUAUUAAGAAUGAGAUAGAUAUUAAUGUACUGCAUAGAAAAUAUUCAAAGUAUAAUAAGUUUUAGAAAAUUAUCACAUAUGUAUAUUAGCAUAUGCAGAGAAAACAUCUUAAAAUACAAAUUUCAGUUUUGAGGUUUGGAUCAUGGAGUAACUGCCCCCUUUUCAAGUCAAACAGUUGAGAAAAUUUAGGAUAAAACAAGUGUGUGCUACCUUUGUAAUCAGAUAAAGUAUUUUAAAAUAAUUCACAUUAUAAUAUAGAAAUACUGAAAUGCCAAGAAAAUUUAAAUAUAUUAAUUAAAACCUACGGGCCAGGCGCAGUGGCUCACGCCUGUAAUCCCAGCACUUUGGGAGGCCGAGGCAGGCGGAUCAUGAGGUCAGGAGAUUGAGACCACCCUGGGCAACAUGGUGAAACCCUGUCUCUACUAAAAAUACAAAAAUUAGCUGGGCAUGGUGGCGUGUGCCUGUAAUCCCAGCUACUCAGGAGGCUGAGGCAGGAGAAUCGCUUGAACCAGGGAGUCGGAGGGUGCCGUGAGCCAAGAUCAUGCCACUGCACUCGAGCCUGACAACAGAGUAAGACUCCGUCUCAAAAAAAAAAAUAAUAAUAAUAGGCUACCAAUUAGACUUUAUAGAAUACAUAAAUAUAUUAAUAUAGCUACAAAGAGGUUGAAGCUUAUUCAUUGAGACAAGAGUAUUUAUUGAGCAUCGACUUUAUUAAAUACACUGUUAGUAAGAUAACAAGUGAAACUUGUUAAAAAAAAAGAAACUAGGACAAAAGAAAUUUGAGUUGAGUUCCCCAAAAACAGGGAAUAUUCAGAUUGUAGGGGAAAUUGGGUAAAGGAUUUGUUUCAGCAUGAAAGGAGCAAGGAGCAAAGAAACUAAAUGGGAGGUUAUGCUGAGAAGUAUAUCAGUAUGAGGAAAUAUCUUGACAUCUACAGACAAAUAUUUGUUGCCAAUUCAUUUUGGGCAUUGAGGAUUCACAAGAAUAAUUAAAAACACGUAAUAUAAAAUCCUUCUGAUUAGAGCACAUUUUAUGGCACUGCAUAAAGAGAUGGCUGUGGGAGUCAUUUAUAUUUUAAUACUAACUUGAACAAGGCUUGGUUCUGCAAAUAAAACAGAAGAGUAAAUAUGAAGUGGAGCACAUAAUAAUGUUACUGUUUCUGUGGGUGAGCUUCCAUAGGAAAGAGGCAAAGGCAUCAAUCUCAAAAAGUUAGAAAAACCCAAAGAAAGAAGAAGAAAAAUAACAAAUGAGAACAAAAUUGAGAAAAUUGUAAAUAAUAUGGUAGAGAAGAUAAACAAAACCAAAUCUGGUUCUCUGAAAAGAUUAGUUAUGUGUAAGUCACUGGUGAUUACAGAGAGAAAAGAGGGAAGGUUAAAAUAACCAAAGUCAACAAUAAAAAGGGGGCUAUUACUACAGAUGCUGUAGACAUUGGAAGGAUAAUAGAAUAUUAUGAUCAAUUUCCUAUCAAUAAAUGUGAAAAAUUAGUUGAAAUACAUAAUUGGAAAAUAUAAUUUACCAAAACUGUCAAAAGAAAAAACACAAAACCUGAACUCCUAUAAUUAUUAAAGACAUUGAUUGAAAAAUCUCAGACCUCUUAAAGGACAACUCCAAAAAUAAAAAAAUAAAAAAAAGAAAGAAAGUUCCAGGCCAGACGGAUUUAUCAGCAAAUUCUAACAUGCAUUUAAAAAAAAAAGGAUGCCACUCUUACAUAAGCUUUUCAGAUAAAAGAAAAGAAAGCUUGAUACCAAAAUGUAGCUAGAAAAUUAUUUAAAAAGGAAAAUUAUGGGUCAAUUUCAUACAUAAACAUAGAUGCAAAAUCCUAAAUAAAAUUCUAGAAAACAAAACCCAACAGUAUAUACGACAAUAAUAUAUAUUGUGAACAAACUGGAUUUAUUUUAAGAAUGAAAGCUUGUUUCAAUCAAAUAAUCAAAUUUACAUUGUAAAGAAAAUUUAUAUAACUUUAAACAAAAGAAGAAAAGCACUUAAUAACAUUCAACAUUCAUAUUAAAAAUUCUUAGUAAAUUAGAAAUAAAGAGGAAGUUUAUAAAUCCUACAAAUUGAUAAAAGGAAUCUACCGAAACCUACAGUAAACCACACAUUUUCAUGUCAAAACUUUAAAAUUUAAUCAUUUGAAGUUGGGGGAAAAGACAAAGAAGCCCCACAUAUUACCGCAUUUGUCUGAAAUUGAAUUGGCAGUCUUAGUUAGUAAAGAAGGCAAGGAAAUGAAAUGCAAUGUUAAAGGAUUGGGAAAAAGUAAAUAAAACUUUAUUUACAGAUGACAUCAUUUUUUUACACAGAAUUUCCAAGAGAAUUUGGAAAUAAGUCAUUAGAAUUAAUAAAUGAGUUUUAAAAGUUUGCUAGAUACAAGGUCAAUAUAGAAUUUUAGUUUUAUAUAUCAGCAUAAACAUCAAUAGAAAUCAAAAUUUUUAAGUGAUACUGUUUUCAUUAGCAUUAAAAAUACCUUACAAUAUGGACAUAAAUCUAACAUAAUACGUGCAGAACCUCUACACCAAAAACUACAAAAUAUUAUUAAAAGAAGACCAAAAUAAAUGGAUAGAUAUAUUCAUGGAUUGAAAAACUUAAUAAUCAAAGGUAGAAUUUUCUUCAAAUUGAUCAAUAGAUUCAAUGCAGAUGCAUUCAAUAUUUCAACAAAGUUUUUGUGAAACUUGAGUGAUUCUAAAAUAUGUAUGGAAAUGCAGAGUCAAAAACAGACAAGAUGCUCUUAAAGAAGAGUGAGAAAUACAAAAGAUUAUCAGAGACUAUUACAAACUGGAAAACCUAGAGGAAAUGGAUACAUUUCUGAACACAUACAACCUGCCAAGAUUGAAUCAGAAAGAAACUGAAAACUUAAACAGACCAAUAACAAGUAAUAAGAUUGGAUAGGAAAAAAAAUCUCCCAACAAAGAAAAGUCAAGGACCAGAUGGUUUCACUACUAAUUCUACCAAACUUAGAAAGAAGAACUAAUACCAAUCCUCACCAAGCCAUUUCAAAAAAUUAAAGAGGAGAGAAUUCUUCCUAAUUCAUUCUAUGAGGCCAACAUUACCCUCAUAACAAAAUCAGACAAGAACACAACAAAAAAGAAAACUACAGGCUGAUAUUCCUGAUGAACAUCACUUCAGUUCAGCAUGGAUACAGGCCAAUAUUUCUGGUGAAUAUAAGUUUUCUAGUAUUUUGUUCAGCAAAAGCUAUCAACAAAAUAUUAGUAGCCUGAAACCAACAGCACAUCAAAAAGAUAAUGCACCAUGGUCAAGUGGGAUGUAUCCCAGAGAUGCAAGGAUGGUUCAACAUACACAAAUCAAUAAAUAUGAUACAUCACAUCAAUAGAAAAAAACAAAAACCAUAUGAUCAUAUCAAUAAAUGCAGAAAAGGCAUCUGAUAAAACUUAACAUUGUUUCAUAGUAAAAGCUCUCAACAAACUAGGUACAGAAGAAACAUACCUCAAUAUAUUAAAGUCCAUACAUGAUUAACCCACAGCUAACAUUAUACUGAACGGGGAAAGGCGGAAAGUCUCUCCUCUAAGAACUGGAACAAGACAAGGAUUCUCAUUUUUAUCACUUCUAUUCAAUAUAGGACUGGAAGUCUUAGCCAGAGCAAUCAGGCAAGAGAAAGCAAUAAAGGUCAUCCAAACUGGAAAAGAAGUCAAAUUGUCCCUCUUUGGAGAUGACAUGAUCUUACAUCUAGAAAAACCUACAGACUCCACCAAAAAACUCUUAGGUUUAAUUAAAAAAUUCAGUAAAGUUGCAGGAUACAAAAAAAUCAGUAGCAUUUAUAUACCCAAUAAUGCACUGGCUGAGAAAGAAAUCAAGAAGAAAAUCCCAUUUACAAUAGGUAUAAGGAAAAAAUAUCUAGGAAAAAAAUUAACCAAGGAAGCGAAAAAUCUCUACAAAAAAACUACAAAACACUAAUGAAAGAAAUGGAAAAGGACACAAACAAAUGAAAAGACACUGCAUGGUCAUGGAUCAGAAGAACUAAUAUCAUUAAAAUGACCACACCACCCAAAUAAAUCUACAGAUUCAAUGCAAUCCCUGUUAAAAUAUUAACGUCAUUUUUCACAAGAAUAGAAAAAAACAAUCCUAAAAUUUAUAUGAAAGCAAAAAGGAGCCUGAAUAGCUAAAGGAACCCUGAACAAAAACAACAAAACUGGGAGCAUCACAUAACCUGACUUCAAAAUAUAUUACAAGGCUCUAGUAACCAAAAGAGCAUGAUACUAGUAUAAAAACAGACGCAUAGACCAAUGGAACAGAAUUGAUAACCCAGAAAUAAAUCCACAUAUUCACAGCCAACCGACUUUCAACAAAGGCAUCAGUAACAUACAUUGGGAAAAAGACACCCUCUUCAAUAAAUGGUGCUGGAAUAAUUGGAUAUCCAUAUGCGAAAGAAUAAAACUGGACCUCUAUCUCUUGCCAUAUAUAAAAAUCAACUCAAGGUAGAUGAAAGACUUAAACUUAAGACCCCAAAUUAUAAAACUAUUAAAAGAAAAUAGAGAAAACAUUUCAGGACAUUGAUCUAAGCAAAGAUUUGAUGGCUAAGACCUCAAAAGCACAGGCAAGAGAAAACAGACAAAUGAGACUAUAUUAAACUAAAACACUUCUGCACAGCAAAGGAAAGAAAACAACCAGCAGAGUGAAGAGACAACCUGUUGAAUGGGAUAAAAUAUUUGUAAACUGUUCAUCUAGUAAGAGAAAAUCCAGAAUAUACACAAAACUCAAACAACUCAACAAUUAAAAAGAAAACUUUUACAAAGUGGGCAAAGAACGUCAAUAGACAUUUCUCAAAAGAAGACACAGGAAUGGCCAUCAAGCAUAUGAAAAAAAAUACUCAAUAUCACUAAUCAUCAGGGAAAUGCAAAUCAAAACCACAAUGAGAUAUCAUCAUACCUUAGUUAGAAUGGCAAUUAUUAAAAAGACAAAAAAUAACAGAUGCUGGCCAGAAUGCAGAGAAAAGGGAACUCUUCUACACUGUGAGUGGGAAUGUAAAUUAGUACAGCCACUAUAGAAAACAGUAGAGAUUUCUCAAAAAACUAAAAAUAAGACUCAAUAUAAUCCAGAUAUCUCACUACUGGGUAUUUAUCUAAUGAAAAAGAAAUCAGUAUAUCAAAAAGAUACUUGCACCCACAUGUUUACCGCAGCACUAUUUACCAUAGCAAAGACAUGAAAUCAACCUAAAUGUCCAUCCACAGAUGAAAUGGUAAACAAAAUGUGGUACAUAUACACAAUGGAAUACUAUUUGGCCAUAAAAAUAAGGAAAUCAUGUCACUUGCAGCAACAUGGAUGGAACCGGAGGUCAUUAUGUCAAGUAAAAUAAGCCAAGCACAAAGGACAAAUACCACAUGUUCUCACUCCUAUGUGGGAGCUAAAAAUGUUAAUGUCAUGGAGAUAGAGAGUGGAAUGAUGGUUACCAGAGGCUGAGCAGAGAGUGGGAGUGGAGAGGAAGAGAGUUUGGAUAAUGGGUACAAACAUACAGUUAGAUAGAAGGAAUAAGUUCUGAUGUUGUAUAGCAGAGUAGCUGACUAUACUUAACAAAAAUGUAUUGUAUAGUUCAAAUCAGCUAGAAAAGAGGACUUGCAAUGUUCCUGACACAUAGAAAUGAGAAAUACCCAAGGUGACAGACACCCCAAAACCCUGACUUGAUCAUUACACAUUCUAUGCAUGUAACAAACUAUCACAUGUACCCCAUAACUAUGUGUGUGUGUGUAUCUAUCUAUCUAUCUAUCUAUCUAUCUAUCUAUCUAUCUAUCUAUCUAUCUAUUUAUAGUAUCCAUUUUUAAAAGGCAAAUCUUAAAAAAAAGAGUGAGGUAGGACAACCUGCUCUACUAAACAUUUUUAUAAAGGCACAGCAAUUAGGUCAGAAUAGUGUUCAUGCAGGUAGAAACAAAUCAGACAAUGGAAAAGAAAGGAAAGUUCAGAAACAGAUUCACACAUAUAUGGACACACUUGAUUUUUGACGAAGGUGGCAGUUGAUUUUUUUUUACAAAGGGGCAGAGUAGUUAAAAAAGGGAGAAACUGUUGGUAAAUGAUGCUGGAAAAUGAGAAAUCCACAUGAGAAACAGAAACUUGAGAAGUAACUCAUAACAUCACAAAAAUUGAUGUCAGAUAAACUAUAAAUCUAAAUAUGACAAGCAAAAACUAUGAAGUUUCUGGAACAUAAUAUAGAAAACUAUAUUCCUGACUUGGGAAGGGAAAGAUUUUAAAAACAAGGCACAGAAACACUAAGAGUAAAGGAAAGACUAAUAAAUUGAACUGCAUUAAAAUAAGAAAAAAAUUAGGAACUUAAAUUUUCAUCAAAAGACACUAUUAAGAGAAUCAAAAGGCAAUGCAUGGAGUGGAAGAUGAUAUCUUUAACACAUCUAAUCUACUAUUCAUAUCCAGAAUAUGUAAAGAACCCCCAUCAAUCAAUAAGAAUACACACAAGUCAGAAUACACACAAGGAAAAACAGGGAAGAAACUGCACAGGCAGUCAUAAAAGAGGAUAUCCAACUGCUCAUUAAAAGGUCUUCUACUUCAUUAGUAAAGCAGGAAGUACAAAUUAAAACCUGAAUGAAAUAACACCACAGAUACAUCAGAAUGUCUAAAACAAAGACUAACAAUGUUGGUGAAGAUGUGGAGCAAUAAGAACUCUCACACACAGCUGGAGUUUAAAAAACAUCCUUAUUUAUCCAUCAGGGCUGUAAUAAGAGGCAUAUAGCAUAUUCAAAUAGGUAAGUGAACAAAAUUUAAUGAAAGAAUUUACAACGGUAAAGGUAGAAUUUAGUAAAAACCAAAGGGUGAGGAAGUCCCCCAGGCUAGCAAGAACAGGAAGCCAUUACUACCCUCAGGCCUACAAGGGCAAGGGAGGUAGCAGUCACGCAGCACCGGUAGCUGUGAACACAGGAGAGGAUAAACAAUAGGAGCUGUGGCCUUCCAUGGAGGGAAAAAGUCACUGCCAACCCAUGACCAAAGAGAGAAAGCUGGAGAAAAAAACUCCCCAAGCUCUCUCCUCCUACUCUCAGGCUUCCUUGUGGUGACUCUCAUUUGCUUAACCCAACAGAAGAUAGAGGACAAAGGAGCCCAUUUGAUGUAGUCGACAGAAGUCAAACUCCCAGGACAAGAGGAGCAGAGAAGGAUGGAGAAUGAAUUAGAGAAGUAAACAAAGAAAGUCGGCACAUCUACUGUCAUCAAAGACUGUGUAAUUCCACUAUUUAAUACAUGUACAAUAGAGAUGUGUGUAUAUGUGCACCAGAAGUCACCUACAAGAAUGUCCACUGCAGUAUUAUUCUCUCAGUUAAAUGCUAUAUCUGGCUGCACAACUAGAUUAGGACUGAGACCCUAACCACACAUGUAGAAGCAGGGAGAAAGAUGCAGUUGAGAAGCCCUUUGCCAUCUGAUAUGCUUCCAAACAAGGGAAACUCAGCUUGGACACUGAAAGCAUUUUGUAUAAAAUACUGUUUGUAUGAUAUCCCCAUGUCACCACACACACACACAUACAGACACACACACAUACACACACACACAACAAAAACAAAAAAAACUUCCAGGGUUACUUUUCUCCUCAGUUAGCAGGUCAAAACUUUUCACGUGUGAAAUACUUUUGCAAGGAGGCAGAUGAAACGGGGGAGAAGGGAUAACCUUGCCUUGCAGUCAUCUAUCAAUUCACUGCAAGGAAGGAACACAGAGCUUAGAUAUGAAGCAUCAGGAGUUCUUCCCAAGACCCUUCUUGUCCCUUGGGAAGAGCCAGGAGCUGGAGGGGAUGGCCUUCACUGAGAAGUGGCAUCAAAUUAGAACCUGCACAACAAAUAGGAACCAGCUACUUAAAGAUCCAGAGAAGUAGCCCUCUAGACUGAAGGAUCAGCUCCUCAAAUAUCCUUUUUGAUUUUGAACUCACAAGUUCAGGGGCAUCCGAGGAACAGACACAAGCCAGGGCUGAACAAUCUCAUCUGUGUCCAUGAGGUGGGCAAGAGCCAGAUCCUACUGAGGAGUUUGAACUUAAUCCCAAACAUGGCGGGAAGCCAUUGGGGCCAAAGAUGAAUUAGGGAUUGUCUGAUCUCCUUGACACGUUCUGAAGGUUUUGUGUACAGAAAAGGUUUGUCAACAUGCACAAAGGAAAGCUGGGAUAACCAAGCUAAGACGCUACCGCAUCAUUCUAGGGGACGGGUGACUCAUUCCAGGAGUUUCUGCAGGAAGACCUAUCAGGACUGGUGAUUGACUGGAGGCAGAGAGCACGAAAAAAGAACAAUCAGAGAUGAUCUGUGGUUUGUGGUUGUUGUGUAAUGUUAAGGCUUAACAACUGCGAAAAUAGUGUUUUUACUUUACAGAGAAGAAGACUUGAAGAAUACAAGAUUGGGGAGAGCAGAUCGGGAUUUGUACUUUAUAUCAGACGUGCUCAUAGAUAUACAUGUUGAGAUAUCAGUUGGGAGCUGGAUAUAUCAGGAUUCGAGACUGGGAAUCACCAGUUUAUAGAUGGUUUUUAAGCCAUGUGAUUGGAUCUCAUUUCUUAGUGGGGAGAAGUGAGAUAACAAAUAAAAGCCAAGAUUAAAGCUGAACCUUCAGCCUGCCCAUCACUUAGAAGCCCAGCAGGGACAGAAGAGCCAGCCGACAGCACAGAGUCGAGGAGGAGGAUUUCCGGGCUUCAGUGAGUGUGCAUCAGAGAUUCAUGGACACAACUUAAAGUAAGACCAGCCACACAGUUCCCUUCAUUUUCUCAAGCAACAUUCAGCAUCUCAAAGUGCGGCUACUACACACGGAGCCAAGCCCUGGUCCAGUUAUCACAAAACCUUACUAGAUAUGUCGAUUAUUAGCUGCAUUUUAUAGCUAAAGGUAGGCAGGCACAGAGAAGUUACGUCUCUUGCCCACAGUCACAGCAAGCAAACAGACCUCAGACCAAAGUCUUUCUAACUCCUUAUUUCACAUCUAAAACACUAUGUGACGCCACCUCCAAAAAAUGUGGGGGUUACUCUAGGACAAAAGAAGCUCAUGAAAGCAAAGAGAGAAGCAUAGAGCUUAAAUUUAGAACAAUAUUCAGGGUGAUUGGGAAAAAUAGCCUCCAUACAAAUAUAAUCGGUUCAUCACCAGGUGAAUAAAAUGAGAGAGGAACCUGGUACAAGUGAAGUUCAUUGAAUUUGCUUGCAAAAAAACAUAAUUCAAGUGUGGAAGUUUGGAAACUAAAAUAGUAAUCAGCUAAAGAAAUUUUCAGGCCAACUUAGACACAAUGGUGACAAAGCUCCCCUGAGGAGACAGGAACUAUACUACUUGCAACUCUAACUGAAUGGACUUAACUUAGCAAUUAAGAUCACCGUAAGUUUGAUCAGAUAAGUAUUAAAGGGUGUCUUGGGUACAUUUGCAGAUUCAGACACUCUUAGUUGUGAAAUUCUUCACCAAAAAUUUGCAACUUAUGGCUUGCACAUUAAAAACAUGAUAUGAAUGAAAUUCAGAUAUCUCUUGGUAAAUUUUAUAAUUAUUCCUCCCAUCAGCUAAAGUUCUCAGUAUGAAGGGUUAUAACUGAUGUCAUAUACAAUAACUACAAGCUGUAUCAUACAAAAAUUGAGAAUUUUCUAUUAUAGAAAGAGUUGCUUUAAUCUAAACCUAAAGUAGCAUCAAUAAUUUUUCGUAAGUGGUCCCCUUCCUAUGAGUAAGCCCCCAGGAAAAAUAAAUUGCUUUUAAGAAAUGCUGUAAGUAAGCUGUUUCAUAUAUAAGUUUUGACAAGAUCUGGCUACUUAAAUUACAAGAUAUAAAAUGAGAUUUGUACUUUUUCUCAAAUGUAAAAAAAAAGAUUUACUUCUGAAAUAAUGGUCUUUAUAAAAUAUGCAUUUUUGUUCCUUUUUCUUAUCAUAUCUAUAAAUUUACUAAUAAAAGAUUCUAUCU